GAUGAACGCUAGCGACAGGCUUAACACAUGCAAGUCGAGGGGCAGCAUAAAAGUAGCAAUACUUUGGUGGCGACCGGCGCACGGGUGAGUAACGCGUAUGCAACCUACCUAUCAGAGGGGAAUAACCCGGCGAAAGUCGGACUAAUACCGCAUAAAACAGGGGCACCGCAUGGUGAUAUUUGUUAAAGAAAUUCGCUGAUAGAUGGGCAUGCGUUCCAUUAGGUAGUUGGUGAGGUAACGGCUCACCAAGCCGACGAUGGAUAGGGGAACUGGCAGGUUGGUCCCCCACACUGGUACUGAGACACGGACCAGACUCCUACGGGAGGCAGCAGUGAGGAAUAUUGGUCAAUGGGCGAGAGCCUGAACCAGCCAAGUCGCGUGAAGGAAGAAGGAUCUAUGGUUCGUAAACUUCUUUUGCAGGGGAAUAAAGUGCAGGACGUGUCCUGUUUUGUAUGUACCCUGAGAAUAAGGAUCGGCUAACUCCGUGCCAGCCGCCGCCGUAAAAC
rnacentral:rRNA from 1 species